AUUGAACGCUGGCGGCAUGCCUUACACAUGCAAGUCGAACGGUAACGGGCCUUCGGGUGCCGACGAGUGGCGAACGGGUGAGUAAUGCGAUCGGAACGUACCUUUCAGUGGGGGAUAACCGUAGCGAAAGGUUACGCUAAUACCGCAUAUUCUGUGAGCAGGAAAGCAGGGGGAUCGGCAAGACCUUGCGCCGAUUGAGCGGCCGAUGUCAGAUUAGCUAGUUGGUGAGGUAAAGGCUCACCAAGGCGACGAUCUGUAGCGGGUCUGAGAGGAUGAUCCGCCACACUGGAACUGAGACACGGUCCAGACUCCUACGGAGGCAGCGAG
rnacentral:rRNA from 1 species